rnacentral:rRNA from 1 species
GAUGAACGCUGGCGGCGUGCCUAAUACAUGCAAGUCGAGCGAACGGACGAGAAGCUUGCUUCUCUGAUGUUAGUGGCGGACGGGUGAGUAACACGUGGAUAACCUACCUAUAAGACUGGGAUAACUUCGGGAAACCGGAGCUAAUACCGGAUGAUAUUUUGAACCGCAUGGUUCAAAAGUGAAAGACGGUCUUGCUGUCACUUAUAGAUGGAUCCGCGCUGCAUUAGCUAGUUGGUAAGGUAACGGCUUACCAAGGCAACGAUGCAUAGCCGACCUGAGAGGGUGAUCGGCCACACUGGAACUGAGACACGGUCCAGACUCCUACGGGAGGCAGCAGUAGGGAAUCUGCCGCAAUGGGCGAAAGCCUGACGGAGCAACGCCGCGUGAGUGAUGAAGGUCUUCGGAUCGUAAAACUCUGUUAUUAGGGAAGAACAUAUGUGUAAGUAACUGUGCACAUCUUGACGGUACCUAAUCAGAAAGCCACGGCUAACUACGUG